UACGUAGGGUGCAAGCGUUAAUCGGAAUUACUGGGCGUAAAGGGCGCGUAGGCGGUCGUGACAAGUCACUUGUGAAAUCUCCGGGCUUAACUCGGAACGGUCAAGUGAUACUGUCGGACUAGAGUACAGAAGGGGCAACUGGAAUUCUCGGUGUAGCGGUGAAAUGCGUAGAUAUCGAGAGGAACACCUGCGGCGAAGGCGGGUUGCUGGGCUGAUACUGACGCUGAGGCGCGAAAGCUAGGGGGAGCGAACGGG
rnacentral:rRNA from 1 species